rnacentral:lncRNA from 1 species
CUCAUGACUUUGUGCCUCAGUUUCUACUUCUAUAAAAUGAAGGGGCUGCCAUGAGUCAUUGAGUCUGACGUGAGCCCUCUGUCAGCUCCCCUUCCUUCAUGCAGAGCCGCUGUCUUCAGGCUUCCAUCUGAAAGGGUCCCAGGAUGGCCAGAUUACUCCGUGUAGGUGUCUGCUGUAUCUGAGUGAUAAAAGUCAGUAUUUCAGACCCUGCAUUAUUCCGCAGCUGAGCCCUGAGGGUGAUUCGGGCAGAGACCACAGAACCAGGGACCGGGAGCUCAGUGUCAUUUCCCCUCCGAUCAGUCACAGGCUGAGUAAAGACAACUCAGCAGAUGGAUGAGCAGACCCCCUACGGCUCCCAGCAUCCCAAGGAGGGCCCUGCUGAGAAGGUUGAGAUAGCCGGGGAACCGAGUCGGUCCUUCCUGCCGGCCUCCGCCAAGGGGAGGAGAGCCCUGGCUGGAAGGGGGCCCUGCCAUCCCCUAAAGUCACCGGUGUCUAAUGCCAAUGCUCUUGGACAGCCUUUGGCCACCAACAGAGAGAGGGGCGCUGCAGGGAGAUGAUGUCUUUGGCCUCAAAAUCUGCCUCUGUUGGGUGGAGCGGUCACCUCCAGGACGUCAGAGGCACCUGGAAGUCCUGCCAUCUGCGAUGGGGCCCCUGGAGACAGACCAGAGGCGGGGACCAGCCCCCCUUUCUCAGCAGGGCUCUGGGGCAUCAGCAGCCUGCAGACAGAGAAGCUGACCAGUCCCUUCUGUUGCACAUUCGAGGACUCAGGCCAUCCUGGCGUUUUACAGGCUGCAGGAGGUUUGAGAGGCCGGCUCUUUUCAAAGCCGUUUCCUGCGGCUGCCCAGGUCAGCUGAUGCUCCUGGUGCGCCAGUUAACCUUGCUCACCCUUGGUCCAUCCUUCAUGGGGAAGGGAGGCCCCUUGGUGGGAGAGUUACCAUUCCUUAAGGGCCAGCACUGAAGUAGCCCCUUCAGAAGCCCCCCAAAUAGGCAGAGUGGUCCUGAGAAUAUUCACUCUCACACCUACGAUACUGGACAAACUUCUUCCUUUUAAAAACUAAUUCAUUUAUUUUUAGUUUUCAACAUUGUUCUCCCCUCCUUCCCCCCGCCUGCAUUCCCUCCUCCCCUUUCCUCCUCCCCCUCCUCCUCUCCUCUCCUUCUUCCCGCUCCCCCUUUUCCCUCCUCGCCCUUUCCUUCCUCCCCCUCCUCUCCUCCCCUUCUUCCCCCUUCCCCUUUCCCUCCUCCCCGGCCUCGUUCUGUCCCC